GGUUUUUUGGUCUAGUGGCUAUGACGCGUCCUUCACAGUUGUCCAAUUUGGAGCUUAACAAACUCCUGGGAAACCGGACGAGGUCUCGGGUUCGACCCCCGAAAGAAUCA